GCAAAACCGAAGCUAUUGGAAAACUUUCCUGUGUGCCAAAGCGAGAGAGCAUGUCUUCUUUCUCUAGAUUUUGGACGGCACAACGCCGAUCGUGUGGCCUAUGAACGAAAAACGGGAGAAGGGGAAACCGAUAUCCUUCGAGUGACACACACGCAUGCAUCUGCAUGCGUAUUCCGCUGAACCGAGACUACACAUCUCUCUCGAUCUCCCAUGAUUUUUCUGCUAUCGCGCUCAUCCGGGUGUUAGGCAUCCUCAGUCUGUCCAGAACUUUCACUGCGGAAGGAUGUGUUGGAGUGAUGUGUGAUUUCUUGUGCCCCGUACUUUGCUCGUUUACGUUUUGUGCCGUGUUCCUUCUUCUUCAAAUAUGGAAUGAUUUAUCCUUGUAAAUUUCUAAGUUACAGUGCACGCGCAUGUUAAUCGACGGUUGCCAACAUCCCGCAAAACGAUCGACAGAAGGAAAACGGUGUCCGGUUUUAAAAUAUAAAGAUUUCAUUACAGCUCUUUCGUAGAAGAGCGCACUUCAAGGACGCCUAGGAUACGGCUAAACAUGCGCAGCACCAGUCCGUGACGUCAUUUCCAGACAGGCGCCGGCUGAACACGCGCAGCACCAGUCGAGGAUAUCCUAGCGCAGAGGGUAGAAGGAAGAACGAGAGGAAGGGUAAUAGAAAGCAACCGCAGCAUUUGGAAGGGGUGAAGCAUCCUGCCGUAUACAGAGUGUGAGUGUGCCAAAACGCAUGUGGAAAGAGUAACACCAAUAAAUAGCAUGCGAAAGUGUGCAUAAAGCAAAAAGAAAAAGCGUCACUACUACAACCAGCAAUCCGAAAAUAUAAGGGGAGGGAUAAAUACAAAUGUAUGCGUAAGCAGGACCAGCAAUCCAAGCAUUUGAAUGUGUGCGUCGGUUUGUGCCGUGCUGAAAGUUUUUACUUUAGCUGCUGCUAGUGUAAAAACUUAAGGAAAGCUUAAAGUAAAAAUUUUUUACACGGGGCGCCUUCGGAAAUUGUUGGCUGGG